GAUGAACGCUGGCGGCGUGCCUAAUACGUGCAAGUCGAGCGAACGGACGAGAAGCUUGCUUCUCUGAUGUUAGCGGCGGACGGGUGAGUAACACGUGGAUAACCUACCUAUAAGACUGGGAUAACUUCGGGAAACCGGAGCUAAUACCGGAUGAUAUUUUGAACCGCAUGGUUCAAAAGUGAAAGACGGUCUUGCUGUCACUUAUCGAUGGAUCCGCGCUGCAUUAGCUAGUUGGUAAGGUAACGGCUUACCAAGGCAACGAUGCAUAGCCGACCUGAGAGGGUGAUCGGCCACACUGGAACUGAGCCACGGUCCAGACUCCUACGGGAGGCAGCAGUAGGGAAUCCUCCGCAAUGGGCGAAAGCCUGACGGAGCAACGCCGCGUGAGUGAUGAAGGUCUUCGGAUCGUAAAACUCUGUUAUUAGGGAAGAACAUAUGUGUAAGUAACUGUGCACAUCUUGACGGUACCUAAUCAGAAAGCCACGGCUAACUACGUG
rnacentral:rRNA from 1 species